rnacentral:rRNA from 1 species
UACGUAGGGUGCAAGCGUUAAUCGGAAUUACUGGGCGUAAAGCGUGCGCAGGCGGUUAUGUAAGACAGGUGUGAAAUCCCCGGGCUCAACCUGGGAACUGCAUCUGUGACUGCAUAGCUAGAGUACGGUAGAGGGGGACGGAAUUCCGCGUGUAGCAGUGAAAUGCGUAGAUAUUGGGAGGAACACCGGUGGCGAAGGCGGCUACCUGGACCGGUUCUGACGCUGAUGCGCGAAAGCGUGGGGAGCAAACAGG